UUAAUGAGAGUUUGAUCCUGGCUCAGGACGAACGCUGGCGGCGUGCCUAAUACAUGCAAGUAGAACGCUGAGGUUUGGUGUUUACACUAGACUGAUGAGUUGCGAACGGGUGAGUAACGCGUAGGUAACCUGCCUCAUAGCGGGGGAUAACUAUUGGAAACGAUAGCUAAUACCGCAUAAGAGUAAUUAACACAUGUUAGUUAUUUAAAAGGAGCAAUUGCUUCACUGUGAGAUGGACCUGCGUUGUAUUAGCUAGUUGGUGAGGUAAAGGCUC
rnacentral:rRNA from 1 species